rnacentral:rRNA from 1 species
UGGGGAAUUUUGCACAAUGGGGGAAACCCUGAUGCAGCGACGCCGCGUGAUUUAGAAGGCCUUCGGGUUGUAAAAAUCUUUUCUAUGGGAAGAAAAUGACAGUACCAUAGGAAUAAGGACCGGCCAAUUACGUGCCAGCAGCCGCGGUAAUACGUAAGGUCCGAGCGUUGUCCGGAAUCAUUGGGCGUAAAGGGUACGUAGGCGGGUAAGCAAGUUAGAAGUGAAAUCCUAUAGCUCAACUAUAGUAAGCUUUUAAAACUGCUCAUCUUGAGGUAUGGAAGAGAAAGUGGAAUUCCUAGUGUAGCGGUGAAAUGCGCAGAUAUUAGGAAGAAUACCGGUGGCGAAGGCGACUUUCUGGCCAUAACCUGACGCUGAGGUACGAAAGCGUGGGUAGCAAACAGG